rnacentral:tRNA from 1 species
CAGAGUGUAGCUAAAUAGUAUAGCACUUCCCUUACACUGAAGAAUUACCCGUGCAAGUCGGGUUACCCUGA